rnacentral:rRNA from 1 species
CACGUAGGGUGCGAGCGUUGUCCGGAAUUAUUGGGCGUAAAGAGCUCGUAGGCGGUGUGUCGCGUCGGCCGUGAAAACCUGCAGCUUAACUGUGGGCUUGCGGUCGAUACGGGCAUCACUGGAGUUCGGCAGGGGAGACUGGAAUUCCUGGUGUAGCAGUGAAAUGCGUAGAUAUCAGGAGGAAUACCGAUGGCGAAGGCAGGUCUCUGGGCUGACACU